rnacentral:rRNA from 1 species
UACGAAGGGUGCGAGCGUUGUUCGGAAUUACUGGGCGUAAAGGGUUUGUAGGCUGAAAUGUAAGUCAAGUGUGAAAUCCCCGAGCUAAACUUGGGACGUGCAUUUGAAACUGUGUUUCUUGAGUAUCGUAGAGGGUGGUGGAAUUGUAGGUGUAGGAGUGACAUCCGUAGAGAUCUGCAGGAACAUCAGAGGCGAAGGCGACCACCUGGCCGAUUACUGACGCUGAGGAACGAAAGCGUGGGGAGCAAACAGGGAUUAAGAUA